ACUCAAAUGAAUAGACGGGGGCCCGCACAAGCGGUGGAGCAUGUGGUUUAAUUCGAUGCAACGCGAAGAACCUUACCUACCUUUGAAUCCACAGAACGGUGCAGAGAUGUGCUGGUGCCUUCGGGAGCUGUGAGACAGGUGCUGCAUGGCUGUCGUCAGCUCGUGUCGUGAGAUGUUGGGUUAAGUCCCGUAACGAGCGCAACCCUUGUCCUUAGUUGCCAUCAGGUAAAGCUGGGUACUUUAAGGAGACUGCCGGUGAUAAACCGGAGGAAGGUGGGGAUGAUGUCAAGUCCUCAUGGCCCUUACAGGUAGGGCUACACACGUGCUACAAUGGCGGAUACAGAGGGAAGCGAACCUGUGAAGGGGUGCGAAUCUCAGAAAGUCUGUCGUAGUCCGGAUUGGAGUCUGCAACUCGACUCCAUGAAGUUGGAAUCGCUAGUAAUCGUGGAUCAGCAUGUCACGGUGAAUACGUUCCCGGGCCUUGCACACACCGCCCGU
rnacentral:rRNA from 1 species